CUCCUGCUCCCAGUCAUGUGAAGUGCUGGCUCCUGCUUUGCCUUCAGCCAUGAUUGUUUCCUGAGGCCUCCCCGGAAGCAGAGGACGUGCUGCCAGGCUUUCUGUACAGGCUGCAAAACUUGGGCCCAGUAGAAUCACAAGGGUCCUCAAGAAGAGUCAGAGAAGGAGAUAUGAUGGCAGAAGCCAGAGUCAGAGUGUGGCCUGAGCAAGACUCCAUUGACAAUUGCUCACUUGAAGAUGGAAAGAGCCAAGAGCCAAGGACUGCAGGCAGCACAGUGCCUGGCAUCAUCAAUGGGCUUCGGGAUUCUGCUCUGCAGAAGCUACGUUUGGAAAAGGAUGAGCAGCAUCUGGAGAAGGUGCCCUGAACGAGAAGAGAAAUGGGAACUCAGAGUAGAGAAAAACUGAAAAGGAGCAACAAAAAUGAGCCUGGAAAUACCAAGAAAGGGGGAAAUUUUUAUUUAUUUAUUUUAUUUAUUUACUUUGAGACGGAGUUUCACUUUUGUUGCCCAGGCUGGAGUGUA